rnacentral:rRNA from 1 species
UCAGAGACGCACACGGCGCGGGCGACGGUCGCGGUCGAGAUCGCUGGCUACAGCCGUGUCAAGGGCCUCGGUAGAGGCGAAUGUCUCCAUUCUCCGGUAUUCUCCAUCGGCGGCUACGAAUGGUGCAUCGGCUACUACCCCGACGGCUACGACGAGGCGAACGAAGGUUACGUAUCUGUCUUCCUCGAGCUCUUGACCAAGAACGCCGAGGCGAGGGCGCUCCACAAGUGGAUGCUUGUGAAUCGGGUUAGUGGGCGGUCGAUUGUGGUGCACUCCAGCAAAGCGCCACGAGCUUUCGACCAUGAAUUUCCAGCUUGGGGCGUAGGGAAGUUCAUGAAGACGACCGCUGAAGUAGAGUCGGUGUACGUGCGGAACGAUUGUCUCGUGAUUGAGUGCGAACUCAGUGUUAUCAAGGAAACACUCGAUAUCCAUGUGCCACCCUCUGACCUUUUGGAUAAUCUUGCAACCUUGCUAGAGGGGAAGAUAGGAGCAGACGUGACUUUCAAGGUUCAAGGGGAGGUCUUUUCCGCUCAUAAAAAUUUGCUUGCGAUGCGAUCGGCGGUCUUCAACGCGGAGUUCUAUGGUCCGAUGGCGGACAAAGGUGUACAGGACAUAAUUAUUGAUGACAUGCAGCCUGCUGUUUUCAAGGCAUUUCUUCACUUCAUCUAUACUGAUUCGAUGCCUUCCACGGACGAUCUUGAGGAUGAUGACAAAAGAGAAAUGGUCAAGCACUUGCUCGUGGCUGCAGAUAAGUAUGCAAUGGAAAGGAUGAAGAGGAUAUGUGAAGGGAUGCUAUGCAAGAGUCUUGAUGUUGAGACUGUGGCGACAAUAUUAGCUCUAGCUGACCAGUACCAUUGCAGCAACCUCAAAGAUGCUUGCAUUGAAUUUAUGCUCUCUUCGAAUAGAAUGGAUGAUGUGAUCGCAAGCCAAGGCUAUGCACACCUCAAAAGAUCUUGUCCUGUUCUCAUUGUAGAUGUGUUUGAGAGAAUAGUCAGGUCCCGCAAAACUUAG